AGAGUUUGAUCAUGGCUCAGGAUAAACGCUGGCGGCGUGCCUAAUGCAUGCAAGUCGAACGGGCGACACUUCGGUGUCGUGACCGUGGCGGACGGGUGAGGAGCACGUAGCUGACCUGCCCUGGCGCGGGGGAUAUCCUCGGGAAACCGAGUGCAAUACCGCAUACGCUUCCAUCGGGGGACCGGUGGACGGAAAGCCGCAAGGCGUGCCAGGAGGGGGCUGCGUCCGAUUAGCUAGUUGGUGGGGUAACGGCUCACCAAGGCGAUGAUCGGUAGCUGGUCUGAGAGGACGAUCAGCCACACGGGGACUGAGACACGGCCCCGACUCCUACGGGAGGCAGCAGCAAGGAAUUUCCCACAAUGGGCGCAAGCCUGAUGGAGCAACGCCGCGUGGGGGAUGACGCACUUCGGUGUGUAAACCCCUUUUCGAGGGGACGAAGGCAAUGACGGUACCCUCGGAAUAAGGAUCGGCUAACUACGUGCCAGCAGCCGCGGUAAGACGUAGGAUCCGAGCGUUGUCCGGAGUUACUGGGCGUAAAGCGCGCGCAGGCGGUUGUCCGCAUCGGCGGUGAAAGCCCCCCGCUCAACGGGGGAGGGUCCGUCGAGAUGGGACGACUGGAGGCAGGGAGAGGCCAGUGGAAUUCCGGGUGUAGUGGUGAAAUGCGUAGAGAUCCGGAGGAACACCAGUGGCGAAGGCGGCUGGCUGGACCUGACCUGACGCUGAGGCGCGAAGGCGUGGGGAGCGAACGGGAUUAGAUACCCUAGUAGUCC
rnacentral:rRNA from 1 species